GUAGUCAUAUGCUUGUCUCAAAGAUUAAGCCAUGCAUGUCUAAGCACAAGCCGAUUAAUGGUGAAGCCGCGAAUGGCUCAUUACAACAGCCACUGUUUACUUGAUCUUGACUAUCCUACUUGGAUAACUGUGGUAAUUCUAGAGCUAAUACACGCAAAAAAGCUCCGACCUUACGGGACGAGCGCAUUUAUUAGACCAAAACCAAUCGGGCUUCGGCCUGAAACGUUGGUGACUCUGAAUAACUGAGCUGAUCGCAUGGUCUCGUACCGGCGACGUAUCAUUCAAGUGUCUGCCUUAUCAACUUUCGAUGGUAGUUUAUGUGCCUACCAUGGUUGUUACGGGUAACGGAGAAUAAGGGUUCGACUCCGGAGAGGGAGCCUGAGAAACGGCUACCACAUCCAAGGAAGGCAGCAGGCGCGCAAAUUACCCAAUCCCGACACGGGGAGGUAGUGACAAUAAAUACUGAUACAGGGCUCUUUUGGGUCUUGUAAUUGGAAUGAGUACAAUUUAAAUCCCUUAACGAGGAACAAUUGGGGGGCAAGUCUGGUGCCAGCAGCC
rnacentral:rRNA from 1 species